UGACUUACCUGUCGGGGGAGAUACCAUGAUCACAAAGCUGGUUUUCCCAGGGCGAGUCUUAUCUAUUGCACUCCGGAUGUGCUGACCCCUGCGAUUUCCCCAAAUGUGGGAAACUCGACUGCAUAAUUUGUAGGACUGCAUUUGCGCUCUCCUUG
rnacentral:snRNA from 1 species